AGCGGCGAGCGAACGGGGAGGAGCCCAGAGCCUGAAUCAGCAUGUGUGUUAGUGGAAGCGUCUGGAAAGGUGCGCGAUACAGGGUGACAGCCCCGUACACAAAAGCGCAUGUGCUGUGAGCUCGAUGAGUAGGGCGGGACACGUGGUAUCCUGUCUGAAUAUGGGGGGACCAUCCUCCAAGGCUAAAUACUCCUGACUGACCGAUAGUGAACCAGUACCGUGAGGGAAAGGCGAAAAGAACCCCGGCGAGGGGAGUGAAAAAGAACCUGAAACCGUGUACGUACAAGCAGUGGGAGCACAGGUUUACCUGUGUGACUGCGUACCUUUUGUAUAAUGGGUCAGCGACUUAUAUUCUGUAGCAAGGUUAACCGUAUAGGGGAGCCGUAGGGAAACCGAGUCUUAACCGGGCGUUAAGUUGCAGGGUAUAGACCCGAAACCCGGUGAUCUAGCCAUGGGCAGGUUGAAGGUUGGGUAACACUAACUGGAGGACCGAACCGACUAAUGUUGAAAAAUUAGCGGAUGACCUGUGGCUGGGGGUGAAAGGCCAAUCAAACCGGGAGAUAGCUGGUUCUCCCCGAAAGCUAUUUAGGUAGCGCCUCGUGAAUUCAUCUCCGGGGGUAGAGCACUGUUUCGGCUAGGGGGCCAUCCCGGCUUACCAACCCGAUGCAAACUGCGAAUACCGGAGAAUGUUAUCACGGGAGACACACGGCGGGUGCUAACGUCCGUCGUGAAGAGGGAAACAACCCAGACCGCCAGCUAAGGUCCCAAAGUCAUGGUUAAGUGGGAAACGAUGUGGGAAGGCCCAGACAGCCAGGAUGUUGGCUUAGAAGCAGCCAUCAUUUAAAGAAAGCGUAAUAGCUCACUGGUCGAGUCGGCCUGCGCGGAAGAUGUAACGGGGCUAAACCAU
rnacentral:rRNA from 1 species